rnacentral:rRNA from 1 species
GUCAGCGGCAGACGGGUGAGUAACGCGUGGGAACGUACCUUCUGGUCUGGAAUAACCCAGGGAAACUUGGGCUAAUACCGGAUACGCCCUUUGGGGGAAAGGUUUACUGCCGGAAGAUCGGCCCGCGUCUGAUUAGCUAGUUGGUGGGGUAAUGGCCUACCAAGGCGACGAUCAGUAGCCGACCUGAGAGGGUGAUCGGCCACACUGGGACUGAGACACGGCCCAGACUCCUACGGGAGGCAGCAGUAGGGAAUCUUCCGCAAUGGACGAAAGUCUGACGGAGCAACGCCGCGUGAGUGAUGAAAGGUUUUCGGAUCGUAAAGCUCUGUUGUUAGGGAAGAACAAGUGCGAGAGUAACUGCUCGCACCUUGACGGUACCUAACCAGAAAGCCACGGCUAACUACGUGCCAGCAGCCGCGGUAAUACGUAGGUGGCAAGCGUUGUCCGGAAUUAUUGGGCGUAAAGGGCUCGCAGGCGGUUUCUUAAGUCUGAUGUGAAAGCCCCCGGCUCAACCGGGGAGGGUCAUUGGAAACUGGGAAACUUGAGUGCAGAAGAGGAGAGUGGAAUUCCACGUGUAGCGGUGAAAUGCGUAGAGAUGUGGAGGAACACCAGUGGCGAAGGCGACUCUCUGGUCUGUAACUGACGCUGAGGAGCGAAAGCGUGGGGAGCGAACAGGAUUAGAUACCCUGGUAGUCCACGCCGUAAACGAUGAGUGCUAAGUGUUAAGGGGGUUUCCGCCCCUUAGUGCUGCAGCUAACGCAUUAAGCACUCCGCCUGGGGAGUACGGUCGCAAGACUGAAACUCAAAGGAAUUGACGGGGGCCCGCACAAGCGGUGGAGCAUGUGGUUUAAUUCGAAGCAACGCGAAGAACCUUACCAGGUCUUGACAUCCUCUGACAACCCUAGAGAUAGGGCUUUCCCUUUCGGGGACAGAGUGACAGGUGGUGCAUGGUUGUCGUCAGCUCGUGUCGUGAGAUGUUGGGUUAAGUCCCGCAACGAGCGCAACCCUUGAUCUUAGUUGCCAGCAUUUAGUUGGGCACUCUAAGGUGACUGCCGGUGACAAACCGGAGGAAGGUGGGGAUGACGUCAAAUCAUCAUGCCCCUUAUGACCUGGGCUACACACGUGCUACAAUGGACAGAACAAAGGGCUGCAAGACCGCAAGGUUUAGCCAAUCCCAUAAAUCUGUUCUCAGUUCGGAUCGCAGUCUGCAACUCGACUGCGUGAAGCUGGAAUCGCUAGUAAUCGC